GCACUCACUUUAGCAGCACAUAUGCUAACAUCAGAAUGAUACAGAGAAGAUAAGCAUGGGCCCUGUGCAAAGAUGACAUAUAAAUGCAUGAAGCAUUCUGUACUUAU